AAGACACUCUUCAUUGGAUUUGGGAUAACACGCCACAGCUAGAUUAGAAAGAGGGAGAUUUAGAAAACAGGUGGCUCUAACCUGCCCUAGGAUUCCCAUACCAAACCUGACUGAGACGAAGCUGCACUGUGUGUGCAAGUGGACAUGUCAACCUCUCCCAAAGGACAAAAUUUAGCUUUCUUCAUUUCAUAUGAACUACAAGAACUCCUGCUCACCAAAGGUGAUGCUCACAGGAGGGUGGGAGAAGCUCUUUCACUUCAGAAGACCCAGCUAGAGGACACAGGCUAUGCAACAAGCAUGGAGGCUUGGAGGGGCAGGAGGAAGAUCUAGAGGAAAGGAAGAUUUUCCAUCACAGAGGAGGUCAUAAGAUGGUGAUAUCUGGUGCUGCAAGUCAGAAAGAAUUUGUAGGAGGAAGAUCAGGAGCCUGGGUACCUGAGCAUAGUUGUGGAAGGCCUAUGCAGCAAGACUGGGGACGACUGAGUCUGGGACUUGUUGCUUUUCUGAGCACCGCAUUGGAAAUGAGAAGCCUACAAUGACUUGCCCUCUGACUCUGGCCAUAGUUUAUCAUCUGGGAAAUGAGGAAGUAAGACCCAAUUCA